GAUGAACGCUGGCGGCGUGCCUAACACAUGCAAGUCGAGCGAAGCGCUUUAUCUGAUUUCUUCGGAUUGAAGGUAAUGUGACUGAGCGGCGGACGGGUGAGUAACGCGUGGGUAACCUGCCUUUCAGUGGGGGACAACAGUUGGAAACGACUGCUAAUACCGCAUGAUACUUUUUGGGGGCAUCCCUAAAAAGUCAAAGCUUUAUGUGCUGAAAGAUGGUCUCGCGUCUGAUUAGCUAGUUGGUGAGGUAAUGGCUCACCAAGGCGACGAUCAGUAGCCGGUCUGAGAGGAUGAACGGCCACAUUGGGACUGAGAUACGGCCCAG
rnacentral:rRNA from 1 species